GAUGAACGCUGGCGGCGUGCCUAAUACAUGCAAGUCGAGCGAACGGACGAGAAGCUUGCUUCUCUGAUGUUAGCGGCGGACGGGUGAGUAACACGUGGAUAACCUACCUAUAAGACUGGGAUAACUUCGGGAAACCGGAGCUAAUACCGGAUAAUACUUUGAACCACAUGGUUCAAAAGUGAAAGACGGUCUUGCUGUCACUUAUAGAUGGAUCCGCGCUGCAUUAGCUAGUUGGUAAGGUAACGGCUUACCAAGGCAACGAUGCAUAGCCGACCUGAGAGGGUGAUCGGCCACACUGGAACUGAGACACGGUCCAGACUCCUACGGGAGGCAGCAGUAGGGAAUCUUCCGCAAUGGGCGAAAGCCUGACGGAGCAACGCCGCGUGAGUGAUGAAGGUCUUCGGAUCGUAAAACUCUGUUAUUAGGGAAGAACAUAUGUGUAAGUAACUGUGCACAUCUUGACGGUACCUAAUCAGAAAGCCACGGCUAACUACGUG
rnacentral:rRNA from 1 species